AGUGAACGCUGGCGGUAGGCCUAACACAUGCAAGUCGAACGGCAGCACAGUAAGAGCUUGCUCUUCCGGGUGGCGAGUGGCGGACGGGUGAGGUAUACAUCGGACUCUACUCUUUCGUGGGGGUUCACGUAGGGAAACUUACGCUCAUAUCGCAUACGACCUUCGGGUGAAAGCAGGGGAUCUUCGGACCUUGUGCGAUUGAAUGAGCCGAUGUCGGAUUAGCUAGUUGGCGGGGUAAAGACCCACCAAGGCGACGAUCCGUAGCUGGUCUGAGAGGAUGAUCAGCCACAUGAGAACGUAGACACGGACCAUACGCCUACGGGAGGCAGCAGUGGGGAAUAGGGGACAAUGGGGGCAAGCCUGGUCCAGCGAUACCACGUGUGUGAAAAAGGCGUUCGGGGUGUAAAGCCCUUUUGUUGGGAAAGAAAAGCAGCAGGUUAAUACCCCGCUGGUCUGACGGUAACCAAAGAAGAAGCACCGGCUAACUUCGUG
rnacentral:rRNA from 1 species